AAGGCCAUAGCCCAGAGGCAGAGCAUCUGCUUUGCAUGCAGAAGGUCCCAGGUUCAAUCCCUGGCAGGCUUGG